rnacentral:rRNA from 1 species
UGCAACGCGAAAACCUUACCCACCUUUGACAUGGCAGGAAUCCUGAAGAGAUUGGGAGUGCUCGAAAGAGAACCUGCACACAGGUGCUGCAUGGCUGUCGUCAGCUCGUGUCGUGAGAUGUUGGGUUAAGUCCCGCAACGAGCGCAACCCUUGCCAUUAGUUGCUACGAAAGGGCACUCUAAUGGGACUGCCGGUGACAAACCGGAGGAAGGUGGGGAUGACGUCAAGUCCUCAUGGCCCUUAUAGGUGGGGCUACACACGUCAUACAAUGGCCGGUACAGAGGGUAGCCAACCCGCGAGGGGGGAGCCAAUCCCACAAAGCCGGUCGUAGUCCGGAUUGUUCUCUGCAACUCGAGAGCAUGAAGUCGGAAUCGCUAGUAAUCGCAGGUCAGCAUACUGCGGUGAAUACGUUCCCGGGUCUU